rnacentral:rRNA from 1 species
GAUGAACGCUGGCUGCGUGCCUAAUACAUGCAAGUCGAGCGAACGGACGAGAAGCUUGCUUUUUUGAUGUUAGCGGCGGACGUGGGAGUAACACGUGGAUAACCUACCUAUAUGUCUUGGAUAACUUCGGGAAACCGGAGCUAAUACCGGAUAAUAUUUUGAACCGCAUGGUUCAAAAGUGAAAGACGGUCUUGCUGUCACUUAUAGAUGGAUCCGCGCUGCAUUAGCUAGUUCGUAAGGUAACGGCUUACCAAGGCAACGAUGCAUAGCCGACCUGAGAGGGUGAUCGGACACACUGGAACUGAGACACGGUCCAGACUCCGACGGGAGGCAGCAGUAGGGAAUCUUCCGCAGUGGGCGAAAGCCUGACGGAGCAACGCCGCGUGAGUGAUGAAGGACUUCGGAUCGUAAAACUCUGUUAUUAGGGAAGAACAGAUGUGUAAGUAACUGUGCACAUCUUGACGGUACCUAAUCAGAAAGCCACGGCUAACUACGUG